AGAAGGAAUAAAGUGAAGAAAGAAAGAAAUAAAAAUAAAAGAUAAAUAAUUAAAUAGAAAAUAGGAAAUUGAGAACAUAUAGAGCUCUUACGGCGGGAGAGGCAAACAGACGUCUCUAAUGCUUCUUCUAUUUCCAGUCGUCGUCGUCGCCGUCGCACUCUCCGAUCUCCAAUGCCGAACCCUAAUGCGCAACUCCACCAUCCAACCGAAGGGAGAGCCGUGGAAUCGGUGCCGGCUUCGACCGCCGUAUGCCACCCAUUUGUCGAGCCCUACGAAUUCUCUGUUCCCAAGGUUUUCCUAAGGGGAUCGGCACGGAGCAUGGGUUUGGCCUACGGGAUCGCGUCGAGCGGCGUGCGAGGGAAGGAUCUCGUGUGCCUUUCCACUCAGAAGAAGGUGUCGGGCAAAGGCGUACCUUGGUACAGUUGGAACAAGAACAGACACAUCCACAAGAAUAUCCAGGACACGAGAGUCUUGGGAUGACACAGCGCAAUCUGGAGCAGGAAACGCUGCAGCAGCUUCUGCUAGGGUAUCCACCACUAGAGGAGCAGGACCCGUUGGGUCUACGAGUGCAACAAGGUCUGUUCUGCCAGCUCGAGCAACCACCGGUGAAGCAUGUCGCAUUGAAGCAAACCAUUGCCCUGCCCACAGAUGAACACCUCUGUUAAGAUCUCAGCCACAUGAAGCAGCAACUUGGAAGACCAAGUGCUUAGUGGAAGGAGUAGAUGGUCACUCAUUAUGGCAGAAAGCAAGAUGACACUAAUGACAACAUCAGCAUGCAAAGAGUAACAACUGUUAUGCAAGGAUUCUCAAUAUGCUGAAUAUAAUGCUGGGAGAAGAUGAUGCAUACAGAGACAGGUUGAAGCCCUUCAACUGAUUGUAACUCCUCCUGAUCAAAUCAAGUCUUGAUUAGUUCAUAAAAAAAAAAGGAAAAGGAAUCAGAACAGAUCUGCAUAGGAAAAUCUGAGUGGUAGAAAAACAUUGUAAAAUGAAUACCCAUAGUCAUUGCUACAUGAGUUUCACAAUAUUACCCAGAUACCAUGACAAGACUUGUGCUGGUUUUAUAUGAAGAGCACAAAGAAUGGGAGUGCAUUGUUGAAGAACCAAGCACAGAAGAUGUAUUUUUUGUACAAUCCAAAAGUACAAAUUGUUUAUUUUCAACCUGUGAGGAGCCCUUCUCAUAGUUUCUAACAAGUCUUACAGCUACAGCCCCAUCAUGGAGUAAUAUACCCAAGAUAACAGAUUGAUUUC